CACUCUAAGGGGACCUCCCGGUGAUAAGCCAGAAGGAAGGUGGGGAUGACGUCAAGUCCUCAUGGGCCUUACGGGCUGGGCUACACACGUGCUACAAUGGUGGUGACAGUGGGCAGCGAGACCGCGAGGUCGAGCUAAUCUCCAAAAGCCAUCUCAGUUCGGAUUGCACUCUGCAACUCGAGUGCAUGAAGUUGGAAUCGCUAGUAAUCGCAGAUCAGCAUGCUGCGGUGAAUACGUUCCCGGGCCUUGUACACACCGCCCGUCACACCAUGGGAGUUGGUUUUACCCGAAGGCGCUGCGCCAACCCGCAAGGGAAGCAGGCGACCACGGUAGGGUCAGCGACU
rnacentral:rRNA from 1 species